UACGGUUUUGCCGAAAGGCAGAUUAAAAGGGAAUGCGGUCAGAUUCCGCAGCAGCCCCCGCUACUGUAAAAAUGACGAAGACUUUUAGAGCUUAGGCUCUGCCACUGGGAAACCGGGAAGGUUAAGUCUGAGGAUGAUUUUGAGCCAGGAGACCUGCCGUAGUGCGU
rnacentral:ncRNA from 1 species